rnacentral:rRNA from 1 species
GACGAACGCUGGCGGCGUGCCUAAUACAUGCAAGUAGAACGCACAGUUUAUACCGUAGCUUGCUACACCAUAGACUGUGAGUUGCGAACGGGUGAGUAACGCGUAGGUAACCUGCCUGGUAGCGGGGGAUAACUAUUGGAAACGAUAGCUAAUACCGCAUAAUAUUAAUUAUUGCAUGAUAAUUAAUUGAAAGGUGCAAUUGCACCACUACCAGAUGGACCUGCGUUGUAUUAGCUAGUAGGUGAGGUAACGGCUCACCUAGGCGACGAUACAUAGCCGACCUGAGAGGGUGAUCGGCCACACUGGGACUGAGACACGGCCCAGACUCCUGCGGGAGGCAGCAGUAGGGAAUCUUCGGCAAUGGACGAAAGUCUGACCGAGCAACGCCGCGUGAGUGAAGAAGGUUUUCGGAUCGUAAAGCUCUGUUGUAAGAGAAGAACGGGUGUGAGAGUGGAAAGUUCACACUGUGACGGUAUCUUACCAGAAAGGGACGGCUAACUACGUG